rnacentral:rRNA from 1 species
AUUGAACGCUGGCGGCAGGCUUAACACAUGCAAGUCGAGCGGAGAUGAGGUGCUUGCACCUUAUCUUAGCGGCGGACGGGUGAGUAAUGCUUAGGAAUCUGCCUAUUAGUGGGGGACGACAUUCCGAAAGGAAUGCUAAUACCGCAUACGUCCUACGGGAGAAAGCAGGGGAUCUUCGGACCUUGCGCUAAUAGAUGAGCCUAAGUCGGAUUAGCUAGUUGGUGGGGUAAAGGCCUACCAAGGCGACGAUCUGUAGCGGGUCUGAGAGGAUGAUCCGCCACACUGGGACUGAGACACGGCCCAGACUCCUACGGGAGGCAGCAGUGGGGAAUAUUGGACAAUGGGGGGAACCCUGAUCCAGCCAUGCCGCGUGUGUGAAGAAGGCCUUAUGGUUGUAAAGCACUUUAAGCGAGGAGGAGGCUACUGAGACUAAUACUCUUGGAUAGUGGACGUUACUCGCAGAAUAAGCACCGGCUAACUCUGUGCCAGCCGCCGCUUAAAAC